UAGGUCAACUCAACUCAACUCAAC
rnacentral:siRNA from 1 species